rnacentral:tRNA from 3 species
GGGGAUGUGGUGUAGUGGUAUCACGUCUGCUUUGCAUGCAGAAGGCCCCGGGUUCAAACCCCGGCGUCUCCA